UCAAAUGAUACAUAAUGAAGCAUCAUUCGAUUGCAAUGCCCUUACCAUAAGAAGUUGUGCGUCUAGGAUUAGAGCAGUUUCCUGACCCACCGCGAACGAUGUCCUGUCAUCCCGCUUCAACAGAUCGAUGUAAAUAAAAACAGCUGGAUCAGAGAAAAAAAUGACCAUAUCUCUCGAUAUAUAACGACGGCAUGAGGACUGUCAUUCAGCUAAACGGGAGGAUGAAACAUCGAAGCGAGGCUUCACAGAUGAUACCUUAAUGGUCCCGGUAGACGCAGUACAGCAGACACUGAAAAAUGCCAUUGAACUGGGUGUAUCGAUGGAUUUAUGUUCAUUUAGUAUAAUAGAGAGCUACUGGAAAAAGGAG